rnacentral:rRNA from 1 species
AAUUUUGUACAAUGGGGGAAACGCUCAUCUAGCCAUCCCGCGCGUAUGAUGAAGGCCUUCGGGACGUAGUGUACUUCUGGCAUAGAAGAAAAGGUAUCUCCUAAUACGAGAUACUGCUGACGGUAUCUGCAGAAUAAGCACCGGAUAACUACGUGCCAGCAGCCGCGGUAAUCCGUAGGGUGCAAGCGUUAAUCGGAAUUACUGGGCGGAAAGCAUGUGUAGGCGGUUCGGAAAGGAAGAUGUAAAUGCCCAGGGCUAAACCUUGGAACUGCAUUUUUAACUGCCGAGCUAGAGUAUGUCAGAGGGGGGUAGAAUUCCACGUGUAGCAGUGAAAUGCGUGGAUAUGUGGAGGAAUACCGAUGGCGAAGGCAGCCCCCUGGGAUAAUACUGACGCUCAGACACGAAAGCGUGGGGAGCAAACA